GGGUUUCGAAUAAACACUUCAUGCAUUAACAAUAAAUACCCUUGUUAGAAUUUUUCAUAAAAGAGAAUAAAGAAAGAAAUAAUCUAAUCGAAGGAUUUACCAAUACUUAUGUAAUCUCGAGGGUAAGGAGACUCAACGAUCCUUGCAGUGAUUCGAUUAAAGAGGAGGAUUCUCAACUAACAAAUAAAAGAAAAUAAUAGAAAUG
rnacentral:lncRNA from 1 species